GGUGGGAGGCUUUGAAGUGUGGACGCCAGUCUGCAUGGAGCCGGCCUUGAAAUACCACCCUUUAAUGUUUGAUGUUCUAACGUGGACCCGUGAUCCGGGUUGCGGACAGUGUCUGGUGGGUAGUUUGACUGGGGCGGUCUCCUCCUAAAGAGUAACGGAGGAGCACGAAGGUUGGCUAAUCCUGGUCGGACAUCAGGAGGUUAGUGCAAUGGCAUAAGCCAGCUUGACUGCGAGCGUGACGGCGCGAGCAGGUGCGAAAGCAGGUCAUAGUGAUCCGGUGGUUCUGAAUGGAAGGGCCAUCGCUCAACGGAUAAAAGGUACUCCGGGGAUAACAGGCUGAUACCGCCCAAGAGUUCAUAUCGACGGCGGUGUUUGGCACCUCGAUGUCGGCUCAUCACAUCCUGGGGCUGAAGUAGGUCCCAAGGGUAUGGCUGUUCGCCAUUUAAAGUGGUACGCGAGCUGGGUUUAGAACGUCGUGAGACAGUUCGGUCCCUAUCUGCCGUGGGCGCUGGAGAACUGAGGGGGGCUGCUCCUAGUACGAGAGGACCGGAGUGGACGCAUCACUGGUGUUCGGGUUGUCAUGCCAAUGGCACUGCCCGGUAGCUAAAUGCGGAAGAGAUAAGUGCUGAAAGCAUCUAAGCACGAAACUUGCCCCGAGAUGAGUUCUCCCUGACCCUUUAAGGGUCCUGAAGGAACGUUGAAGACGACGACGUUGAUAGGCCGGGUGUGUAAGCGCAGCGAUGCGUUGAGCUAACCGGUACUAAUGAACCGUGAGG
rnacentral:rRNA from 1 species